CGCACAUUGCGCCCCUUGGUAGCCCGGGGGGCAUGCCUGUUCGAGCGUCAUUUCAGACCAUCAAGCACCGCUUGGUAUUGGGCCCCUCUACCCCCUGUUUCAGGGGGUAGGCCCUAAAUCGAUCGGCGGCACGAGUCGAGCCCCAAGCGUAGUAGAUUUUAUUUUCCCGCUUCAGGAGGCCUCGGCGAGAGCUCGCCCCGAACCCCAUUGAAAUUUAUCUCCAAGAUUGACCUCGGAUCAGGCAAGGGUACCCGCUGAACUUAA
rnacentral:misc_RNA from 1 species